rnacentral:rRNA from 1 species
CCUACGGGAGGCAGCAGUGAGGAAUAUUGGUCACUGGACGAGAGUCUGAACCAGCCAAGUAGCGUGAAGGAUGACUGCACUAUGGAUGGUAAACUUCUUUUAUAUGGGAAUAAAACGCUCUACGUGAGGGAUGUGGUAUGUCUCAUAUGAAGAAGGAUCGGCUAACUCCGUGCCAGCAGCCGCGGUAAUACGGAGGAACCGAGCGUUAUCCGGAUUUAUGGGGUUGAAAGGGAGCGUAGGCGGAAUGUUAAGUCCGUUGUGAAAGUUUGCGGCUCAACCGUAAAAGUGCAGUUGAAACUGGCAGACUUGAGUUGGCGAGAAGUACGCGGAAUGCGCGGUGUAGCGGUGAAAUGCAUAGAUAUCGCGCAGAACUCCGAUUGCGAAGGCAGCGUACCGGCGCCAGACUGACGCUGAGGCACGAAAGCGUGGGGAUCGAACAGGAUUAGAUACCCUUGUAGUC